UACAGAGGUCUCAACCGUUGUUCGGAUUCAUUGGGCGUAAAGGGUGCGUAGGCGGUCGCGCAAGUCGGAUGUGAAAUCUCCGGGCUUAACCCGGAGCGGUCAAGUGAUACUGUCGUGCUAGAGUGCGGAAGGGGCUACUGGAAUUCUCGGUGUAGCGGUGAAAUGCGUAGAUAUCAGGAGGAACACCAAUUGCGAAGGCAGCUCGCUGGGACGUGACUGACGCUGAGACGCGAAAGCGUGGGGAGCAAACAGGG
rnacentral:rRNA from 1 species